AAGAGAGAGACAUGCGCGCAUAUCAAUAAGCGGAGGAAAAGAAACUAACAAGGAUUCCCCUAGUAACGGCGAGUGAAGCGGGAAGAGCUCAAAUUUGAAAUCUUAAAGGGUUUCCCUUUACGAAUUGUAGUUUAAAGAAGUGUUUUCUGUUGAGGUUUUGGUAAAAGUUCUUUGGAAUAGGACAUCAUAGAGGGUGAGAAUCCCGUAUUUGACCAUUACUUUCAACUUUGUGAUACACUUUCAAAGAGUCGGAUUGUUUGGGAAUGCAGUCCAAAAUAGGGUGGUAAAUUUCAUCUAAAGCUAAAUACUGGCGAGAGACCGAUAGCGAACAAGUACCGUGAGGGAAAGAUGAAAAGAACUUUGAAAAGAGAGUUAAACAGUACGUGAAAUUGUCAAAAGGGAAGCGUUUGACACCAGUGUUGUUUUUCUGAAAAUCAAUUAAAGAACUGUUUAUGCUAAGUUGUUUAGACUUUAUCAGCUAACUGUUUAGUUUUGAGCUUUUCUUUAAUGCACUUUUCAGUUAACAAGUCAACAUCAAUUUCUUUUGCUGUAAAAAAGCUUGAGGAAGGUGGCUUGAGAUUCGUCUUAAGUGUUUAUAGCCUCUUGCCUAUGCAGUCGGAGAGAUUGAGGUCUGCAGCGUAGAUCCUUCGGGGCUAAAUGCAUUUGUGCUAAGUUAUAGCAUUUUAUAGACAACUUGUUGACUAUGAUUUGUCUUGUAGCUUACUCGCUUAUGUUAUUUUACCUACGCUUAGGAUGUUGAGCGCAUGUCUCUCUCU
rnacentral:rRNA from 1 species